rnacentral:rRNA from 1 species
CGGAGGGUGCAAGCGUUAUCCGGAUUUACUGGGUUUAAAGGGUGUGUAGGCGGGCUGUUAAGUCAGUGGUGAAAUCUCCGAGCUCAACUUGGAAACUGCCAUUGAUACUAAUAGUCUUGAAUCUUGUUGAGGUUGGCGGAAUAUGUCAUGUAGCGGUGAAAUGCAUAGAUAUGACAUAGAACUCCGAUUGCGAAGGCAGCUAACUAAGCAAGUAUUGACGCUGAGGCACGAAAGCGUGGGGAUCAAACAGGAUUAGAUACCCUGGUAGUCCACGCCCUAAACGAUGAUUACUCGACAUACGCGAUACACAGUGUGUGUCUGAGCGAAAGCAUUAAGUAAUCCACCUGGGAAGUACGACCGCAAGGUUG